AGAGUUUGAUCCUGGCUCAGAUUGAACGCUGGCGGCAUGCCUUACACAUGCAAGUCGAACGGUAACAGGUCUUCGGAUGCUGACGAGUGGCGAACGGGUGAGUAAUACAUCGGAACGUGCCCAGUAAUGGGGGAUAGCUCGGCGAAAGCCGGAUUAAUACCGCAUACGCCCUGAGGGGGAAAGUGGGGGACCGCAAGGCCUCACGUUAUUGGAGCGGCCGAUGGCUGAUUAGCUAGUUGGUAGGGUAAAGGCCUACCAAGGCGACGAUCAGUAGCUGGUCUGAGAGGACGAUCAGCCACACUGGGACUGAGACACGGCCCAGACUCCUACGGGAGGCAGCAGUGGGGAAUUUUGGACAAUGGGGGAAACCCUGAUCCAGCAAUGCCGCGUGUGCGAAGAAGGCCUUCGGGUUGUAAAG
rnacentral:rRNA from 1 species